rnacentral:rRNA from 1 species
GACGUAGGGCGCGAGCGUUGUCCGGAUUUAUUGGGCGUAAAGAGCUCGUAGGCGGCUUGUCGCGUCGGCUGUGAAAACCCGCGGCUCAACUGUGGGCGGGCAGCUGAUACGGGCAGGCUGGAGUUCGGUAGGGGAGACUGGAAUUCCUGGUGUAGCGGUGAAAUGCGCAGAUAUCGGGAGGAACACCAGUGGCGAAGGCGGUUGCCUGGAGCUUUGCUGACGCUGAUGCGCGAAAGCGUGGGGAGCGAUCCGG